AAGUCGUAACAAGGUUUCCGUAGGUGAACCUGCGGAAGGAUCAUUAUAGAAAAUGACGUGAACUCUUAACGGAGUUCUCUCAAAGUGUUGGAGGGGAAGGCCUGCGCUUAAUUGCGCGGCUGUUUUUAAUCUCCUCCGCCUUUGAUACACACAUUGGGGUUUCUACUUUUUUGUUCUCUUUGGGAGGGUUCUGCUCUCCCAGAGGUAAACACAAACAAUCCUUUAUUAUACUAUUAACACAGUCAAAUGAAUUUUAAAAACAAAAUAUUCAAAACUUUCAACAACGGAUCUCUUGGUUCUCGCAUCGAUGAAUAACGCAGCGAACUGCGAUACGUAAUGUGAAUUGCAGAAUUCCGUGAAUCAUCGAAUCUUUGAACGCACAUUGCGCCCCUUGGUAUUCCGGGGGGCAUGCCUGUUUGAGCGUCACUUCCCUCUCAAACUUUACGUUUGGUAGUGAGCGAUACUCUACUCUGGAGUUUGCUUGAAAAUGGGAGGCCAUAGGCGAAGCAUUGCUUUCCAAUCCUGCGGCCCUCUGCUUACUUCCCCUUGUGGGUUGUGGCAGGGGAAAGCGGGAGGCGCCUUGCCACGAUAGUCGUAUUAGGUUUUACCGACUCGGCGAAAGUGAAGAGGUUUGCUUUUAAAAAAGAAGCAGGCAGCGUCUGGCUUGACAAAAUUCUCAAAGUUUGACCUCAAAUCAGGUAGGAUUACCCGCUGAACUUAA
rnacentral:rRNA from 1 species